rnacentral:rRNA from 1 species
AGGCCUUAUACAUGCAAGUCGUGCGAGAAAGUAUCUUCGGAUAUGAGUAGAGCGGCGGACGGGUGAGUAACGCGUAGGAAUCUACCUAGUAGAAGGGGAUAGCCCGGGGAAACUCGGAUUAAUACCGUAUACCUCCUUAGGGAGAAAGAGGGCCUCUCUUUGAUGCUCUCGCUACUAGAUGAGCCUGCGUAAGAUUAGCUAGUUGGUGAGGUAAUGGCUCACCAAGGCGACGAUCUUUAGCUGGUCUGAGAGGACGAUCAGCCACAUUGGGACUGAGACACGGCCCAGACUCCUACGGGAGGCAGCAGUAGGGAAUAUUGGACAAUGAGCGCAAGCUUGAUCCAGCCAUACCGCGUGUGUGAAGAAGGCCUUCGGGUUGUAAAGCACUUUAAGCAGGGAGAAAAAGUUAUAGGUUAAUACCCUAUGACCGUGAUGUUACCUGCAGAAUAAGCACCGGCUAAUUCCGUGCCAGCAGCCGCGGUAAUACGGAAGGUGCAAGCGUUAAUCGGAAUUACUGGGCGUAAAGCGCGCGUAGGUGGUUUGUUAAGUUGGAUGUGAAAGCCCUGGGCUCAACCUAGGAACUGCAUCCAAAACUAACUCACUAGAGUACGAUAGAGGGAGGUAGAAUUCAUAGUGUAGCGGUGGAAUGCGUAGAUAUUAUGAAGAAUACCAGUGG